GAUGAACGCUGGCGGCGUGCCUAAUACAUGCAAGUCGAGCGAACAGACGAGGAGCUUGCUCCUCUGACGUUAGCGGCGGACGGGUGAGUAACACGUGGAUAACCUACCUAUAAGACUGGGAUAACUUCGGGAAACCGGAGCUAAUACCGGAUAAUAUAUUGAACCGCAUGGUUCAAUAGUGAAAGACGGUUUUGCUGUCACUUAUAGAUGGAUCCGCGCCGCAUUAGCUAGUUGGUAAGGUAACGGCUUACCAAGGCGACGAUUCGUAGCCGACCUGAGAGGGUGAUCGGCCACACUGGAACUGAGACACGGUCCAGACUCCUACGGGAGGCAGCAGUAGGGAAUCUUCCGCAAUGGGCGAAAGCCUGACGGAGCAACGCCGCGUGAGUGAUGAAGGUCUUCGGAUCGUAAAACUCUGUUAUUAGGGAAGAACAAAUGUGUAAGUAACUAUGCACGUCUUGACGGUACCUAAUCAGAAAGCCACGGCUAACUACGUG
rnacentral:rRNA from 1 species